ACUCUGAUGGCUCGUCGUCUCCUUCCUGCCACCACCGCCACCAUCGUUGCCUCUGCCUCUACUGCUACCGCUGAUCUUGCAGCAGUUCGCGAAUGGAGUCGCGGCACAUCCACCGUGAACGUCGUUCGAGGUAUGCGGCUCGGCUCGGCUUGGCUCGACUCGAUUCGACUCGACUCGAUUCGAUUCGAUUCGACUUGUCUCGUCUCGUCUCUUAUCAUCUAACUUCCUACCUCGUUGGAUUUUCUCGGAAAGGAGAAAAAAAAAAGCGCAAUAAUUUCGCGCGUGAGGAAGCUAUUUCGUAAGGUUCCUCCGACUUUUGACAACAAUACAAUUGGGACGAACUAUCGAGAACAUCGGCAAAAUAAUGGAACGAACGACCACACGUCAGGUGAUCCAGGAAGUAAUCGCACACAUAUCAAGGAUCGAUACCUGUACAAAAUAAAACUCUGAAUGAAGAGAAGAUGACACUUACCUGAUAUACGCAGUCAACUUUGAAGAACGAUAAAGCUGUCUUCCUCGUAAUACAAAUAGAAAAGUUUAAAAGAAUCAAAGCGGUCCUUUGAAUGGUGAUCAGCAGUUUCUAGACUCAGAGUUAUUGUUAUAUCUGGUUGCUACAUGACAGUACCAAAAUGAUCUUGGAUUUGAUGAUCGGCGAACAUCUUCCAAUCUUCAAUGAUGUCUCGAUGAAGUCUCGACAAAGUAUGUGAAACCCCCUGUACGUAUACUGAAUGUAUCCUGAGUGUAUUCCUGUCCGGUAUACCUUCAGUAUACGUAACAGGAGGCUACACCGGUCUACGAUGGAUUUCUCUCGUCACUUGGAUCAUCCUCAUCAUUAUCAUCAUCAUCACCAUCAUCCGUAUCGUCUCUUCGUAAUCUCUUCAAAUAUUUUCGAUAUAACACUUCUAUAAUGAUUUGUGCGCAAUUAGAUAUUAAGACGAUCGCUUAAUUAAAUAAUAGACGUUGUAGAUAUCGUGAUGGUUUAAAUAAGAAUAGAUUAAACAUUGUAUUAGAUUAAAUCCAAUAAUCCGAUGUAUUCAUUAUUUCAUUUCUAAACAAAUGUAAUCUCUAUGAGUCAUUCUUAUCGAAACAAUUCUGAUUGUUCUUUAUCAGGUUCAAAGUUACGUAUUAAAAUCGAAGAUUUUUAAUUACAAUGUAAAUACUUUUUAUAAAAGAGCUUAUAAUAACGUUCGUGAUAAUAUUAUUAUUUUUUGCAUUCGUAUGACCUUUAUUUUAUCAAUUAAACAAAACAUGAACAUGAAUUAAUUCUUAUCGAAUGACGAUUGUAAUAAAUAUCGACGUAUACGUACGUACGUACUUAAAUAUGACGAUUUCAGCGAAGUACAUACACGUGAUUAAUGAUGACAAAUAUAUAAAUAAAUUCUACGUUAAAUUGAAAG